rnacentral:rRNA from 1 species
UACGGAGGGUGCAAGCGUUAUCCGGAUUCACUGGGUUUAAAGGGUGCGUAGGUGGUCAGUUAAGUCCGUGGUGAAAUCUCCGGGCUCAACCCGGAAACUGCCAUUGAUACUAUCUGUCUUGAAUAUCGUGGAGGUAAGCGGAAUAUGUCAUGUAGCGGUGAAAUGCUUAGAUAUGACAUAGAACACCAAUUGCGAAGGCAGCUUACUACCCGAAUAUUGACACUGAGGCACGAAAGCGUGGGGAGCGAUCCGG